rnacentral:piRNA from 1 species
GAAAUAGAAAUCAUACCAAGAUGCCCC